rnacentral:rRNA from 1 species
GACGAACGCUGGCGGCGUGCCUAAUACAUGCAAGUUGAGCGAUGAAGAUUGGUGCUUGCACCUCUUUGAAGAGCAGCGAACGGGUGAGUAACGCGUGGGUAAUCUGCCUUUGAGCGGGGGACAACUUUUGGAAACGAAUGCUAAUACCGCAUAACAACUUUAACCAUAAGUUUUAAUUUUGAAAGAUGCAUUUGCUUCACUCAAAGAUGAUCCCGCGUUGUAUUAGGUAGUUGGUGAAGUAAAGGCUCACCAAGGCCAUGAUACAUAGCCGAACUGAGAGGGGGGACGGCCAACAUGGGACUGAGACAAGGCCCAAAAUUCUAAGGGAGGGAGCAGGAGGGAAACCUCGGGAAUGGAGGAAAGGCCGACCGAGGAAAGCCGGGGGAGGGAAGAAGGGUCUCGGAUCGGAAAACUCUGUUGGUAGAGAAGAAAGUUGGGGGGAGGGGAAAGCGCACCAAGUGACGGUAACUAACCAGAAAGGGACGGCUAACUACGUG